AUUGAACGCUGGCGGCAUGCUUUACACAUGCAAGUCGGACGGCAGCACAGAGAAGCUUGCUUCUUGGGUGGCGAGUGGCGAACGGGUGAGUAAUAUAUCGGAACAUACCGAGUAAUGGGGGAUAACUAAUCGAAAGAUUAGCUAAUACCGCAUAUUCUCUGAGGAGGAAAGCAGGGGACCUUCGGGCCUUGCGUUAUUCGAGCGGCCGAUAUCUGAUUAGCUAGUUGGUGGGGUAAAGGCCUACCAAGGCGACGAUCAGUAGCGGGUCUGAGAGGAUGAUCCGCCACACUGGGACUGAGACACGGCCCAGACUCCUACGGGAGGCAGCAGUGGGGAAUUUUGGACAAUGGGCGCAAGCCUGAUCCAGCCAUGCCGCGUGUCUGAAGAAGGCCUUCGGGUUGUAAAGGACUUUUGUCAGGGAAGAAAAGGCUGUUGCUAAUAUCGACAGCUGAUGACGGUACCUGAAGAAUAAGCACCGGCUAACUACGU
rnacentral:rRNA from 1 species